CUUUAGACUGUUUGCACAUUUGGAUAGUUUCGAUAGAGAAGGAAAAGGAAUAGGCACAUUCUGAGUCGUUCCAGAAAUAAGAAAUAGGCCCAACAGCUGCCAUAAAAAGGCAAAUCUGGUCGCUUGUAAGAAAGACUUUUCUAAUAAAGUCAUUUAUGAAGUAAGAAAUGCCUCAUGGGAUAGUAAAUGCUGAGAUCAAAGCUGAAACAAUUGCUAUGGAGGAUGUGGAAUCAGAUGAUGCAGCUCCUGAGGAGCUGGUCCAGAUGACCAGGAGUCCUCCAGCCACUCAGCUGGGCCUGGCUGGCUGAUCGGAACCCAGCGCUGUUUGUUCCAAGGCUACACUGGCCACUGCAGGUGCAACUGCCGAGCCAGGGCUGAUCUGGAGACACCUCUGGGUGCGGCGGGUGGAGGCGGCUCUGCAAAAACAACUCUCUGCCGUUGCCCAGUGAACAUCUUGAUGCAGAGGAAGUCCAGGAGGUACCUAGGCGGAGUGUUUUCCAUCCUGAGUCUAGCGGUCCCGGCCUGUUGCAGGGAAGCCAUGUAAGAAAAUGGAAGGCUGGCACCCUCUUCUCUGUGACAACGGAACCACUCCUGGGAACUUCCACCUGCCCCUGGGACUGCGCUUGAAGUUCUCACACUCCCCCCACCCAACAGCGUAAGAACAAAUCUGAAAACUUGAAGUCGGCCACCUACAGAAGAGAGGCCAGUCGGGUGCUACAUGAUGAUGGAAUGGCAUUUUGUAACUUCCCUUUUCUCACAAAAAUAUGUGACACGUGCAUCUCCAUGCCCUGGUUUCUUCCAGAACCUCUCUGAAUGUCUGUGCAGGAUCCCGCUGUACAAGUGGUCCUCUGUGUCACCAGCCUGUGAUGAUGGGACUUAUCAAUGGUGCUAUGGACAGAACGCUGCCCCCCUCACAUCUCUAUGUUGAAGCCCUACCCCACAAUGGGGUGGUAUUUGGAGAUGGGACCUGUGGGCGAUAGGGUAGUUUAGAUGAGGUCCUGAGGUAGGGCCUCCAGGUGGGAUUUGUGACCUUAGAGGAGAGACACCAUUCUCUGCCAUUCAAGGACAGCAGAGAAGGUGGCCGUCCAUAGCCUGGCAGUGGGUCCUCCCCAGCCCCUGACCAGGCUGGCAUCUUGAUCUUGGACUUCCAGCCUCCAGAACCAUGAGAAAAUGAAUCCCAUUGUUGAAGCCACCCAGGCUAUGGAUUUCACUACGGUGGACCAAGCAGACUCAUACAGGGGGAUUUCAGUUUUAUGAUUACGAGAAAUGGCUCAGUGGAUGUGUAACCUGCUUUUCUAGUUUGAAUAUGUCAGGAGCAUUUUUUUCUGACAAUUAAUUACACUUAAAUAUGAGAUUUUAAGUGUUCUGAUUAUGAAAGCAACGGUUGCAGCAAUUUCAAAAAUUAAUAAAAGUAUUUCUUAAAAGAAAACUAAAAAUAACUCAUAGUCUUACUUCCCAGAUUUAUUUCAAUGUGUUACAGUAGUUUUCUCCCUAGACUUUUUCUUUGUAAAUAGGUAUGUAGGUAGAGAGAUGAUAGCUAAUUUGUGAUUUUCUCUUAUAAGUUUGGGAUCAUUAGAUCACUUUUUUAAAAUUCUACUUUUUACAUGUUUAUAAUAUGAGAAAGUUUGCUUGCCAUUAUAUAGCAUUUUGUAAUAAGGACACGCCAUGCUAUGAUUAUUUUCCUUACAACAGGUCCUGUUCACACUUUUACUGUUAUAAACUACACUAUAAUGGACAUGUGUGUGCAUAAAUCCUCUUGGCAUUUCUAAUUAUUUUCAUAGGCUGUAUUUCAUAGGAAGUGAUUUCUAAAUGUAACCAAAUAAACUGAUCUAAC
rnacentral:lncRNA from 10 species